CCCCUCUUUUUGGGGGGGACAAGUCUGGCCCCCAACACCCCGCGGGUAAUCCCAGCCCCCAAUAGCGUAUAUUAAAGUUGUCGCAGUAAAAAAGCUCGUAGGAGGAUUUCUGUAUAAUAAUUUAUAAAAAUAUUUUGAUGAAUAUUUAUAUAAUAUUAACAUAAUUCAUAUUACUAUAUAUUUUUAGUAUAUGAAAUUUUACUUUGAGAAAAUUAGAGUGCUUAAAGCAGGCAUAUGCCUUGAAUACUCCAGCAUGGAAUAAUAUUAAAGAUUUUUAUCUUUUUUAUUGGUUCUAAGAUAAGAAUAAUGAUUAAUAGGGACAGUUGGGGGCAUUUGUAUUUAACAGUCAGAGGUGAAAUUCUUAGAUUUGUUAAAGACAAACUAAUGCGAAAGCAUUUGCCAAGGAUGUUUUCAUUAAUCAAGAACGAAAGUUAGGGGAUCGAAGACGAUCAGAGAACCGUCGUAGUCUUAACCAUAAACUAUGCCUUUCUAAAGAACUGAGGGUU
rnacentral:rRNA from 1 species